UACGUAGGGGGCAAGCGUUGUCCGGAAUCAUUGGGCGUAAAGAGCGUGUAGGCGGCCCGAUAAGUCCGCCGUGAAAGUCCAGGGCUCAACCCUGGAAUGCCGGUGGAAACUGUCGGGCUGGAGUCCGGAAGAGGCGAGUGGAAUUCCUGGUGUAGCGGUGAAAUGCGCAGAUAUCGGGAAGAACACCCGUGGCGAAGGCGGCUCUCUGGGACGGUACUGACGCUGAGACGCGAAAAGCGUGGGGAGCGAACAGG
rnacentral:rRNA from 1 species